CCCUGGACCCGACGCGAUCUCGCCCUGGCGCGGUGUCCGUUAAUCCCAUGGCAGUUCUGGUGAGAUUUUGGGAAGGGGAGGUCGAUGGAUUUGUGCGCUCUCUGAGCCGAAUUCUCCGACGAUCCGUGGUUUAGAGAUGGGCUUUUUGAGUCCGGAUUGCGGAUUCGGAGUUUCUGGGUGGCUGGCCGCUCUAGCGGAGGAGCGCCAGGGGAUUGGGUGCCGUUGCGUGUUCUACUGCUGUGGUACUGGUUCCUGUGCGGUGUCUGCGUCCAGAUCUCCAACAUGUUCGUCCUGUGUUAGGCUGUGACCCUAAAUUAUUCUGAAAAUCAGUUUCAGUGCUGAAAAUCGAUUUCAUUUGUUCUGUUGGUACACGCGUUAGGUGCUCCGUUAGGUAUUUAGUGCGCAGUCUGUUCAGCAAAUGAAUCAAUCUUUAUAAGGUCGUACUGAAGGUUUUGUUGUGGUGCUGUUUAUUCACCAAAUGUGCAAUCAAGCUCUUGUCCCAAUUUGGUAGGGCUAUGCGAAUUCCACCCUCUGUCCUGCUACUUGUUAGUCUAUCAUGGAACCUCUAGAGAUCAGCAUAGUGGAUGGUUGUAAACAUAGAAUAUCUUUGCAGCUUGCUUGAUGGGAAACAUUCAGUGUUUAAGUCCCGGGUAAUGGUUUCUGCCCUUUGCCCUUAGAUUGGGUGAAGUAUCUUAGCUUUUGUACUACCUUUCCCCAACCCUUCUUUCUUUUGUUGCUGUGUAUACUUUUCCCAACUCCAUUUUCUUCGGAUAGUGCUUCAUGAAGGGAAUAGUCAAGCACAUGUGCAUCCAUGUUGCAUCAGCUUUUGAUUUUCAGGGUGUAGGCAACAAAAUUAGAGGAGUUAUUUUUUUGUAGGCAACACAGAUAAAGAUAAGUAGGCAAAAUACUGCAUAUAAUCUCAGCAUCUGUACUGCCUCAAUAGGCAAUACUGUAAUAUCUGUGUUCGUCUAGCUUUUUUUCAGCAUCUCUGUUCACAAGGGGUGCGGGCAGGCAAUAUAUGUGUUCAGCAGGCAAAACAAUAAUAAUAUGUGGGUUCAUAUUGGUAGCUAUUUAUCAGCAACUGUUUUCUUUAGUAGGCAACAGAUUUUUUUCAUUGGGCAAUACUGUAAUAUCCUAUAGUUCGACAAGCUCCGCCUUCCCUUCCACUUCCACAUGCAUACCUCUCUGAACGCAACUCGUCAAUCGAAUUGAUGUCCUGCAACUGCAAUCAAUCAGCAGUAAGCAUCAUUUAGGUGUUUUGAUCCCGUGUGCCCGGUCUUGUUGUUGUUUCAGUCAGUGUGCCACGCGCUCGACAAGCAUGUUAAGAGCAGGGUCUACUUCAAGGUAUGUACCAACACUCUUCUACCUGGCACGGCAAUAGCUUUUUCAAUCUACCCAACACCGUACCCAGCACCACUGUCAACAAAGACUUCUCCUCGGGGAAGAAGGGUAUUCAAAAUUCAUCUCUUAACCUGCAAUGUCUCAGUAGUUACUUGCCAUUGCUGCUACAAAACUUAUGUUGUUGCUUGUUGGCCUGUCCCUUGCUAUCUGAAGUAUAUAUUUUUUGACUGUCGCUCAUUCAUUAUCUGAAGAAUUUUAUGUAGGUAGUCUUAAUGUGUGUUUAGCUUUCAGUUUUUACUUCUACUUCACAGAGUAGAAGAUCACAAGAGAACAUUGGCUGAUCUUUAACAAUUAUUCUUAGAGUAACCCAGAGCAGUAUUCGAUAUUGUGAGUCACUGAAAAUGUAUACUGUUUUUUUCUUCAGGAUAUGGAUGAAUAUCUGAAGGGAUGUAGGAUUCUUCCCAAACUUAACAACGAGAUACUAGGUGAAAGAAAUGCUCCCUACAAGGAAAGGUUGAGCAGCCUAGAGAAAUUAGUACUGAUCAUGGUAAGGUUGACAAAGCCUGAAAUCUCAUUUUGAUCCAGGUUCAAAGAUUACAUGGUAGCAUAUAUACUUGAAGUUGGCAUGGAAUAUCAAAGCUCAAAUACACAGGGGUGAUCGAUGCGGACUACUAAGACCUGGUGGGCGCCGUGCUCUUCAACCACUCGGAUUAUUGUACAGGUGAUUGUGAUGCUGGAGGUCGCCGAGGUGGAGGACCUUGACGCCGCCGUCUGGAGGUCGUCGAGGUGGAGGACCUCGACGCCACCGUCUGGAGGUUACCGAGGUGAAGGAACUUGGCGCCUUGGUAGAUACAUGUAAAGAAGUGGUCUACUUAGGUUGGUGGUGGAAUGCUAGGGAAGGUACCCACCUUUCGGUGCUAGUUGUGUGCGCUUGAUGUAUGAGUGGGAUCUCGUGAUCUCUUCGAGUUGAGAUGUUCAAUAUUGUAUCCAUGAACGCUGCAAGUGCUUAGAAUGCAAGGGCUAAGAUGGUUAUGUGACCUUCGUUUAUUUUGCACUGGAUGUGUCCUGAUUUC